GCGCUACACUGAUGCAUUCAACAAGCCUAUCCCUAGCCGAAAGGCUCGGGUAAUCUUUGAAACUGCAUCGUGAUGGGGAUAGAUUAUUGCAAUUAUUAGUCUUCAACGAGGAAUGCCUAGUAAGCGCAAUUCAUCAGAUUGCGUUGAUUACGUCCCUGCCCUUUGUACACACCGCCCGUCGCUCCUACCGAUUGGGUGUGCUGGUGAAGUGUUCGGAUUGGCAAUUGAAGGUGGCAACACCGUCGAUUGCCGAGAAGUUCAUUAAACCCUCCCACCUAGAGGAAGGAGAAGUCGUAACAAGGUUUCCGUAGGUGAACCUGCGGAAGGAUCAUUGAAUAUGCAAACCACAACACGCACUCUUUUACUUGUGUACCGACGUUAGGUCGAACCCUCACCGGUUUGGCCUACUUACUACACACACACCAUUGACCAACCACUGAUCAAACCAAACUCUGAAGUUUCGGCUGCUGUUAAUCGGCAGUUUUAACGAAAACAACUCUCAACAACGGAUAUCUUGGCUCUCGCAACGAUGAAGAACGCAGCGAAAUGCGAUACGUAGUGUGAAUUGCAGAAUUCCGUGAACCAUCGAAUCUUUGAACGCAUAUUGCGCUCGACUCCUCGGAGAAGAGCAUGUCUGCCUCAGCGUCGGUUUACACCCUCACCCCUCUUCCUCUUCGGAGGGAGCUUGUCGUGCUUGCUCAAGCCGGCAUCAGGGGUGGAUCUGGCCCUCCCAAUCGGACUCACCUCUGGUUGGGUUGGCUGAAGCACAGAGGCUUAAACUGGGACCCGAUUCGGGCUCAACUGGAUAGGUAGCAACACCCUCUGUGGUGCCUACACGAAGUUGUGUCUGAGGACCUGGUUAGGAGCCAAGCAUGAAACGUGCCUUUGGCGCGUAUCUCUGUAUUCGACCUGAGCUCAGCAAGGCUACCCGCUGAACUUAAGCAUAUCACUAAGCGGAGGAAAGAAACUAACAAGGAUGCGCUUAGUACGGCGAGCGAACGCGCAAAGCCCACUUGAAUCUCCCUCGGAGAUUGUAGUCUAUAGAGUACCCUCUGCACGGGCGAGCUAAAGUCUCUGCAAGGGCGUCAGGAGGGUGAGACCCGUAGCUUGUGCCUAGUGCCUCACGAGGUGCUUUCGAAGGUCGGUGCCUGGCAUGCAGCCAAUUGGUGUAUCCAUCUAG
rnacentral:rRNA from 1 species